rnacentral:miRNA from 1 species
UCCAGCUGUGUGGCAUUGUACUU